CCCCCCCCCCCCCCGGCGGGCGCGCCGCGGCGCCCCUGCAGCCCCCGGCCCGGCCCCCCUCCGCAGCGUUCGCUGCUCGCUCCUACAUGCUGGGGACCCUGCCGGCGCUGAGAACAGGAAGCGGAGGCAGAAGCAGAGAGCAUUCUGGAACGGUCUCUGUGUUUUCCACCGAGAAUACAGAAAUUACGAUCAAUUAGUAAGGCUUUGUGGAUCGAAAUCUGGGCUGUUUCAGGAGGAGACACAUAUUACAUUAUUUUUGGAUGCUGGGCUUUGCAGUGAUUUUUCAUUCUCUUUCAAUCAGAGUUUCUACAGUGGCUGUUCAUUCUCACUGUAUUUGGAGAAAAGUGCUAUUAAGAGCUGCUUUGUCAAGAGCAGAGACCUAAAAGAGAGGGAUGUCAUCUUCUUUUCCUCUCUAGAAGUAAAACAAAAUAACAACAUAAAACAGUAAAUUAAAAAAAAAAGGCAGAAAUAUAUCUAUAUGAGAUAUCCAAAUGAGAAUAAAUGUCUGAAAGACAAUUCAUCUGAAUCUCUGUGGCUGAAGACUAAUAUGUGUGAGAUGUAAGUAGACUAUUUAAAUUUGAUGAACUGGAUACCCGGAUUAUUAAAGACUGUGGAAGACAUGGCCAAUCUUUGGCCAG
rnacentral:lncRNA from 12 species